AGAAAAUGGGCUGAACCAAUCCACAGGCGGGGAAGAGCAGAGCCGGCCUGCCUGCCCCGGGGGGUCUGUUGCCGCUUUGGGGACCCGUGUUUGUGUAAGGAGCUCUCCUGCAGGUUCCAGGAGGAUGAAAACAUCCAAUGACUCCCAGACGUUGCUGAGCUGGACGCAUUUAUUUGUACUAACGCUCCUGGCCACACACUUCCAGAUGGACGGUCCCAAAGAGAAUCGUUUGUUUCCUCUCGUCUCCCUCCACCAUGCACUUUACGACUGCAGAGGGUCAGGCUCACCAUGUGUUUCCCUCUCAUCUCACCCGGCAUGUAUUCUCAAGGUCACCACAAGGCCCAACAUAGCUGCUGAAGCUCCAGCCAUCCUAUCUGCAUUCCAGCCCCUGCGGAGCCGAGUCUGUGAGCUGCGCUACGGUGAGGACGGCCUCGUCCUUUCCUGCCCUCCUUUCCGGAUCACCAGCGAGUCUCCCAAGGAGCGUGUGCUCCCUGAGUCCGCUCUGACUGAUGGGCGUUGUCACCGGCCUCCGGAGAGAGUCUGUCUGAAUGUUUCUGGAGGCAUUUCUCACAAAUUCCCCUUGUGUUUAUUAAUCUCACACCUUGGGGGGGCAGUCAGUGCCUCCCAUGGCUGGUGUUGAUGGAGCACCUGUGAUGGGCCAGGUGCUGGGCCAAAGGCUUUUCAAACCCUCACACCUGUGCGGUGAGGGAGGCAUUAUUAUCAGUCCCAUUCUACGGAUGGAGAAACUGAGGUUCAGAGAGGCAAAGAGAAUUGCUCUGGGUCUCAUAGCUGGCAAGGGGUGGCGUCAGGAUUUGAUCCCAUGGGCUGCCUGGAUCCCGAGCUGUCCAUUCUUCAUAAACUCUGUGGCUCCAUCAGGAUUAUCUGUAAUGAGAGGCUCAGAGGGCCCAGGCUCAGGGCCACACAGCUCGUGUCAGAAGGGUCCAGGCCGCAGGUCAACAGCAGUGGGAGAAUAUGCAGAGUCCUAGAAGGGCAGGUGUGGAGGGAACAAAUCACUCAGCCCUCCCAAGUCCUUCAAGUCCAUCUUGUGAUGGAUGGGAACCAAGACCUGGAGGCGGAAGUGACUAAUUUCUCUUCUUUACAAUACGUACGUUAAUCUAGGCUUUCUGACCCUUGAUGCUAUUGUCAUUUUAGGCAGAUAACUCUUUGUUGUAGGGCUGUCCUGUGCACUGUAGGGUAUUCAGCAGCAUCCCUGGCCUCUACCCACUGGAUGCCAGUAGCACCCCCACCCCAGUUCUAACAAGCAACAGUGUCUUCAGACAUUGCCCAGUGUCUCCUGGGUUGGGGGUGGGGAAGGGUACUGAGCCGCCCCAGUUGAAAUCCUUUCGUUAAUCUGAUCAGAGCAUUUACUUGCUUCAAAUUCUCCAUGUUUCCCCUAGUUUUUCCAGAUAAAACCCAAACUCCUUUGCUGGGUCUAUCAAGAUUUCGGUGGGAUGGCCCUGCUAACACUUGGGCUCUGCAGUCCCCUCCCUGAGCACAGUAACAAGUCACAGCUGACGGGUCCUGGGCACUUCCUAUGCACCGCGAAACUUCUUAGUCAAGGCUCCUCAGAGAGUUGCCAUCCUUAUGUCACAGUUUACAAGCUGGAGGUCUCUAGAGUCUAAGAAAGGUGUCUAGAGCCAGCCGGUUAGUGCCUGGCAGAACCUCAACUUAAAUCCCAGCGUUCUGACCUUGACCCAGGAAAUGUCUGCUUCACGCUUCGGGUUCUGGCCGGUGCGCAAUACCAACAACCCACUUCUCAGAUGCGCCCUGCUCACUCCCCUUCCGGGCUGUGCUUCUCUUAGCGCUCCCCCCCCCCCCCCCCCCUGAAUCCUAGUGCUCGCACAGAUCUGGGCCCAGCUGGUGUUUGAUAACUCAGGAGAGCGUCAGGCCAGGCCGUUCCUCUGCCAGAACUGCCUUCAUCAGGGAUCAUUUGCUUGGCAAAAACAAACGCACUGGAGCUAACGUAAAUAAAGGGAAAGCCACUGCGAGGAGUGAGGGUAUCUGGUGGGCCUCGAGGGCAAGAACUUGUUCAGGUCCCCUCUCACUUAAAACUAGAAAUUCUUCACAAGACCUUGGUCCCGGGAAUUGGAAAGCUGGCAGGAAUCAGACUCACUCUUUAUCCUCUUUGUCUUUGGGUCCUAGGGGAAGGCUUUUCUCUUUCUCUGCUGCAUUCUCCUGCGGUUUGCUGCAGACAAGCUCUCCAGGUCUCUCUAUAUCAGAACAUGGGGCCCCCAAAUGGCUGCCCAGGAUGGCUGGCCUAGUCCACUCGGGCUGCUCUAACAAAGUACUGCAGACUG
rnacentral:lncRNA from 1 species